rnacentral:misc_RNA from 1 species
AGAAAAGGAGAAGAAGAAGGGGAAAACGGGGAGGAGAGAGAGAGCGGGAGGGAGAGGAGAAGCGGGAGGAGGGGAAUGACGGGAGAGGGGAGACGGGUGAGGAAGAGGAAUGAAGAGGAGGGAGACAUGCUGCCGGUGACUGUGGGCUGAUGGUUGACGCCGCUCGUUGCUCGUCCGGCGGCUGUUGUUUGCAGCACGCUGGUGGGUCUGGUUGCUCGCCAUUUGCGAGAGCGACGAGAGGGAGGCGACGAGGAGAGAGAGGUGGUCGUUCGCCUCUUUUUGCAGCUGCUGGCCGGACGCAGGAGUUUUCGCCGGCGACCGCUGCUGACUCCUCGCCGGUCAUGGCUGCUGAUGCUGUCCGCCAUGGCUGUUGUUGCUUGUCUCCUGGCUGUCUCCCUUGCCGGAAAAGAUGGAGGAGAGGGAGAGAGAAGGGAGCGGCUGCUUGGAGAGGAAGAGGUGGCGAAGAGAGAGAGAGAGAGAGGAGCGACUGGCGGCUGGUUCUUCUGGUGGCUUUCACCGGAAGUGGCGAGGAGAGAGGGGGCCGG